rnacentral:rRNA from 1 species
GUCUUAAUUGGGCGUUAAGUUGCAGGGUAUAGACCCGAAACCCGGUGAUCUAGCCAUGGGCAGGUUGAAGGUUGGGUAACACUAACUGGAGGACCGAACCGACUAAUGUUGAAAAAUUAGCGGAUGACCUGUGGCUGGGGGUGAAAGGCCAAUCAAACCGGGAGAUAGCUGGUUCUCCCCGAAAGCUAUUUAGGUAGCGCCUCGUGAAUUCAUCUCCGGGGGUAGAGCACUGUUUCGGCUAGGGGGCCAUCCCGGCUUACCAACCCGAUGCAAACUGCGAAUACCGGAGAAUGUUAUCACGGGAGACACACGGCGGGUGCUAACGUCCGUCGUGAAGAGGGAAACAACCCAGACCGCCAGCUAAGGUCCCAAAGUCAUGGUUAAGUGGGAAACGAUGUGGGAAGGCCCAGACAGCCAGGAUGUUGGCUUAGAAGCAGCCAUCAUUUAAAGAAAGCGUAAUAGCUCACUGGUCGAGUCGGCCUGCGCGGAAGAUGUAACGGGGCUAAACCAUGCACCGAAGCUGCGGCAGCGACGCUUAUGCGUUGUUGGGUAGGGGAGCGUUCUGUAAGCCUG